UUAGCAUUGAUCUGCCUCAAAAGUUUUGAUUUUAUUUGGAAUUUUUAGUAAUAAGAUCAUGCAAAAAUUCUGUCUGUCUGAACUGUAGAGCUUAGAAGGCAUUUACUAGGACUUGACAAGAUUGAGAAGCAGUCUCUGAAUUGCUUGGGUUUUUAUUAUUAUCAUGAUCAUUAUUUUAAGAUGCACUGGCAGCAAGGGUCAAAACAGAAUACGAGCAAUUUUUGGACUGCUGAAUCAUAUAUGUCUGUAUUUUUGUUGUAGUUACUAACCUGCUGUCUGACUGUUGAUGUUGUGCAUGUAUGUGUUUAAUCUCUAGGCAAACCAAAAGGAAUAGACAAUCCUGCCUAUCUAAUGGACAGUGGCAAAAUGGACCCAGCUCAGGACAGUGACUUGCCAACUGCUGUUGGUCAUUCGGAAAGUGACCAGUCUGCACUGCUUGGGGACGAUGCUGAGACAGGGAAAGUCAGGCAGCGUGCUGAGGAGGAAUUAAAACAUGAUACUCUUAGAUCAGCUUUAAUGUCACGUAUGUCUUUUUUUUAAUGCACUACAAGGGAUGGUGUUGUACAUAGUGCCUUCAUUGUUUUGUGUCAAAGUACUU